rnacentral:rRNA from 1 species
UACGUAGGGGGCAAGCGUUGUCCGGAUUUACUGGGCGUAAAGAGCGUGUAGGCGGCCAAACAGGUCCGUUGUGAAAACUGGAGGCUCAACCUCCAGACGUCGACGGAAACCGUGUGGCUAGAGUCCGGAAGAGGAGAGUGGAAUUCCUGGUGUAGCGGUGAAAAUGCGCAGAUAUCAGGAAGAACACCAAUGCGAAAGGCAGCUCUCUGGGACGGGUAC